UUCUCUUUCUCAUUUAUUUUUAUUCAGGCGAAAAACUUGAUGGUUUUCGUGAAUAUUUGACACAAAAGCUGGAAGCAGACCAGAAUAAUCAAGAAAUGGAGGCCCGCGAAGUGUUGAAGACAAUAUCUACAUUGAUACAGCGAGCAAAACAUGUAAAAUGAAUUCGGAAACAUUCAACAACACGACACAACUCUCAACAGAAAUGGCACAUCAGAGACCAACCCUUUUCUCUCACCUCCGCCUCUUCCUCCUCCUCCUCCUCUUAUACUUCAACUACCAUUACGACUACUACAACACUAGCAGCCUCAAGAGAGUCAUUUCCAGUAGAUGUGGUUCCAUGUUGGACACAGGAAUAUGGUGCCAUCGUUAUUUACUUCCUUGCUGUAACCAUUUUACAAUAGACAAUUUCUGACUCAUGCAUUAAGGAAUAAACCAAAAUUCAAUCAUA